rnacentral:lncRNA from 10 species
GCCGGCUUGCUGUAGAGGCAGGCGCCGGGUGUGUCGCGGCAGUGCAGCGGCCGCGAAGGGGUGUUUUGCUGUAUGUCAUAUUCCUCGUUUCGCCAGAGCGGGGGUCCCGAGCUUCGGGCGCGGGACGCGGGGGUGCUCCGAGGCUGCGAGUGGAGGCGUGACGUGACGUCCCUGGCAAGAGGCGCGCGGAGUCAGGCCUUACUUAGAACGUGUUCCCGCCGCACAGCUACCAGCGGGCGCGACCGCUACCCACGCAUGGUGCGGUCGAGUAAACGGCACCGCCUGGCGAGCGAGAGACGCAAAGGGACAUAGCCCCCUAGGAGCUGAGCUCUUCGGGGGUAAAGCGUUCUCACGUUGAUGAGACCAGGAGGCGGCGCACGCCUGGCUCCGCGGCCCAGGGGUUGCAGGUGCCCCAGGGUUCGCGGGGCGCAGACGCCGCAGAGGGCGACGCCCUGCCCGGGUCCCGCGCGGACCCGGGGGACGCAGGGUCUGACACGGAGUGCGGAGGGGCCCCAGACACGCAGUCCAUGUCCCUUGAAACCAGAGGCACGCGCGGCCACGCGCUAGGCCUUUCCCUUAAGCCUGUGACCAAGAUCUCCGGGACUCCCAGCGUUGGGACGGGCGCGCUGGCCCACGCCCAAGCGGGAGGAUCGCUUGCGCCCAGGAGAUUGAGACCAGCCUGAGCACCAAAGCGAGACCUCGUCUCUACAAAAAAUAAGACUCAAGAAGACACCCAGGGUGAAUCGCCCGUCUGCAGCCAGCCUCCCGAGCACCGUGGCCGCGUCUGACAACUGACCUCUGUGUCUGGGUGUCCCUGUCCUCAGAGGGACACGGGACCUCAGAAAGGACCACAGCCCGGCGGCAGGCAUGAUGGUGGGAAAGCUAGUUAGGACAGGUGAGGCACUAAAUUUAGCCUGUCAUAAUUUGUAUCAGGGAAAUGAUGAACUUGUAUUUUUACACACCAUGGGCACCAACACAAGAUAUGGUUUCGUAAGCAGCUUUGGCAAGAACCAAAGGAACGGAACCUCUGCUUCCAAGUGUACGGUCAGGAGCAGCGUGUUAAUUAAAAUACACAAAAGAAUUUCUCAAAAAACAGUAAACGAACAGCAACCCGAUAGAAAAACGAGGAAAGAAUAUGAAUAAGCAGCUCCAGAAGAGGAAAUUCAGGUGGCCGGUAAACACAUGAAAAAGAUGCUCAUCUUCACUGGUCACCAGGAAAAUGUGUGAGUGUAGCCCUUGACACCAAUCAGAGUAAGUCUGGGGACACCAGGGAGUGGGGAUUUGGCACCAGUCGUGCAGCUGAAGGUCGGAAUACUCCAGUGUGGGAUCCGCCUUCCAGUACCUGCCGGAGAAACUGCACAUGUCCGCAGGGAGAUGGAAAGACCUUGUUUCCUUCGGGGAUUUGUACUUCUCUGGAAGAAGAGCCGAACGGCUUCAGUGGAGCCUGUUGUCUGUUGUGAAGUGUAGCAGUUUAACCCAAACCUGCAAGCAACCCAAGUACUCAUCAGCAGGUGAAUAAACAAACUGGCACAUCCACACUGCGGAACACGGCUCAACCCCCAGGAGGACCCGGCGCGGAGCCCGGCUCAACCCUGAAGAGGAUUUCACUACUGACACACACGACAUCACAGGUGACUCUGGGAGCAAUCAGGUUCAGUGAGAGAAGCCGGACAAAAAAGAGUGCGUACCUUAUGACUCCACUUACAUAAAAUCCUAGAAAAUACAAACACCAGGCAGGCGCGGUGGCUCACCGCUGUAAUCCCCGCACUUCGGGAGGCCGAGGCAGGCACAUCACUUGAAGUCAGGAAUAUGAGACCCGCCUGGCCAACAUGGCAAAACCCCAUCUCUACUAAAAAUACAAAAAUUACCCUGGCGUGGUGGCACACGCCUGUAGUCCCAGCUACUCGGGAGGCUGAGGCAACCUGGGAGGCAGAGAUUUCAGUGAGCUGAGAUCACACCACGGCACUCCAGCCUGGGUGACAGAGACUCCAUCUCAAAAAAUAAAAAUAAAAAACAUAAAUAGCAACAGAGAGCAAAUCAGCAGUCGCUUGGGAAAUAAGGGGUAGGGAUGGGUGAGAGGGAGGGAUUACCAGGUACACGUGCAGCCUGGAUAGUGCUGAGGGCUUCACGACGUAGACGCAUCAGCCUCAUCAAAUUACACACUCUACCUAUGUGCGGUUUGCCUUGUGUCAACUGUGUAUCCAUAAAGCUAUCAACAAAAACUGCCUGCAAACUAUUUUUAACUGACAACUUUUUUUUUUUUUUGGGAUGGAGUCUCGCUCUGUUGCCCAGGCUGGAGUGCACUGGCGCGAUCUUGGCUCACUGCAACCUACGCCUCCUGGGUUCAAGCGAUCCUCCUGCCUCAGCCUCCUGAGUAGCUGGGACUACAGGUGUCCACCACCACGCCCGACUAAUUUUUGUAUUGUUAGUAGAGAUGGAGUUUCACCAUGUUGGUCAGGCUGGUCGCGAACUCCUGACCUCAAGUGAUCCACCGCCUUGGCCUCCAAAAGUGCUGGAAUUAUAGGUAUGAGCCACUGCACCUGGCCAGACAACUGU